CACUACGGCACCAGGCCCUGAACGCACCCGAUCUGGUCUGAUCUCUGAAGCUAAGCAGGGUCAGGCCUGGUUAAUACUUGGAUGGGAGACUGCCUGGGAAUACUGGGUGUUGUAGGCC
ensembl:rRNA 5S_rRNA 5S ribosomal RNA